GAUGAACGCUAGCGAUAGGCCUAACACAUGCAAGUCGAGGGGCAGCAUAGAGUAGCAAUACUUUGAUGGCGACCGGCGCACGGGUGAGCAACACGUAUGCAACCUACCUACAUCAGGGGAAUAACCCGGAGAAAUUCGGACUAAUACCGCAUAAUACAGGGAUGCCGCAUGGCAAUAUUUGUUAAAGAUUUAUCGGAUGUAGAUGGGCAUGCGUUCCAUUAGCUAGUUGGUAAGGUAACGGCUUACCAAGGCAACGAUGGAUAGGGGAACUGAGAGGUUUGUCCCCCACACUGGAACUGAGACACGGACCAGACUCCUACGGGAGGCAGCAGUGAGGAAUAUUGGUCAAUGGACGAGGGUCUGAACCAGCCAAAUCGCGUGAAGGAAGACUGCCCUACGGGUUGUAAACUUCUUUUGUACAGGAAUAAAAGACAUUACGUGUAAUGUAUUGCAUGUACUGUACGAAUAAGCAUCGGCUAACUCCGUGCCAGCCGCCGCUGUAA
rnacentral:rRNA from 1 species